rnacentral:rRNA from 1 species
GGUAGUCCACGCCGUAAACGAUGGAUGCUAGCUGUUGGAGGUAUCGACCCCUUCAGUAGCGAAGCUAACGCGUUAAGUAUCCCGCCUGUGGAGUACGGUCGCAAGACUAAAACAUAAAGGAAUUGACGGGGAUCAGCACAAGCGGUGGAUUAUGUUCUUUAAUUCGAUGAUAACCGAUGAACCUUACCAGGGUUUGACAUCCUUGGAAUUACUCCGAAAAGAGUGAGUGCUUUAUUGAACCAAGUGACAGGUGUUGCAUGGCCGUCGUCAGCUCGUGUCGUGAGAUGUUUGGUUAAG